AGAGUUUUAAGUUAUUCAAACUAGAGACCUUCAAAGUCCCCAAAAAAAGCUUUAAUCUUUUAAACUCUA
rnacentral:tRNA from 1 species